rnacentral:rRNA from 1 species
UACGAAGGGAGCUAGCGUUGCUCGGAAUCACUGGGCGUAAAGCGCACGUAGGCGGCUGGGUCAGUCAGGGGUGAAAUCCCGGAGCUCAACUUCGGAACUGCCCUUGAUACAGCACGUCUUGAGUCCGGAAGAGGUGGGUGGAAUUCCUAGUGUAGAGGUGAAAUUCGUAGAUAUUAGGAAGAACACCGGUGGCGAAGGCGGCCCACUGGUCAGGUACUGACGCUGAGGUGCGACAGCGUGGGGAGCAAACAGG